rnacentral:rRNA from 1 species
UAGGGAAUCUUCCGCAAUGGACGCAAGUCUGAUGGAGCAACGCCGCGUGAGUGAAGAAGGUUUUCGGACCGUAAAGCUCUGUUGUUGGUGAAGAAGGAUAGAGGUAGUAACUGGCCUUUAUUUGACGGUAAUCAACCAGAAAGUCACGGCUAACUACGUGCCAGCAGCCGCGGUAAUACGUAGGUGGCAAGCGUUGUCCGGAUUUAUUGGGCGUAAAGCGAGCGCAGGCGGAAGAAUAAGUCUGAUGUGAAAGCCCUCGGCUUAACCGAGGAAUUGCAUCGGAAACUGUUUUUCUUGAGUGCAGAAGAGGAGAGUAGAACUCCAUGUGUAGCGGUGGAAUGCGUAGAUAUAUGGAAGAAUACCAGUGGCGAAGGCGGCUCUCUGGUCUGCAACUGACGCUGAGGCUCGAAAGCAUGGGUAGCGAACAGGAUUAGAUACCCUGGUAGUCCAUGCCGUAAACGAUGAGUGCUAAGUGUUGGGAGGCUUCCGCCUCUCAGUGCUGCAGCUAACGCAUUAAGCACUCCGCCUGGGGGAGUACGACCGCAAGGUUGAA